rnacentral:tRNA from 1 species
GGGGAUAUGGCGCAGUGGUAGCGCGUCUGCUUUGCAUACUCUCUCACGAGGAUCAUUCGUGCAGAAGGUCUGGGGUUCGAAACCCCAUGUCUCCA